AGUCAUGCCAGAUUCUUCUGCCAUCUCUUUCCUGUCACGGAAAUGCGAGGCUGUGUUUUAAUACCACGGACGGCAGGGAAAUCUCUAAUGGAAGUCGACCAAGAAGAGCCCUAUUUGCCACAUGCCAUUAAUCAAGAUAAUUUGUGGCCUAUCAUCUCCGAAACAGACUUUGAAAAGGAAAAAAAUGGUUUGCACAAUAACUCCUCCAUCUUGUGAAGAUGCGUUGGAAGUUAGAAGUGGCUAAAUUGGGACGGAGACGAGCCGAAUAGCAGCGGUUUUGACGGUUUAUUCAGCUGUGGGAUUUUGGUAUUGAUGGAUGAUGACACGUUUAUGGAGCCAAACUAAGAUUAGGGACACUGUCUGUUAAUCAAAUUGUUGUUGUGCAUGAAUUAAGUUUUUUUUUUUUUUCCUGGUUCUAGUUCAAUUUAUACCAACUAAAAGGCUUUUGUGCCUUUUUCC